rnacentral:rRNA from 1 species
AUUGAACGCUGGCGGCAGGCUUAACACAUGCAAGUCGAGCGAGCGGCGGACGGGUGAGCAAUGUCUGGGAAACUGCGUGAUGGAGGGGGAUAACUACUGGAAACGGUAGCUAAUACCGCAUACCAUCAGAUGUGCCCAGAUGGGAUUAGCUAUUAGGUGGGGUAAUGGCUCACCUAGGAGACGAUCCCUAGCUGGUCUGAUAGGAUAACCAGCCACACUGGAGCUGAGACAGGGUCCAGACUCCAACGGGAGGAAGCAGUGAGGAAUAUGGCGCAAUGGGCGCAAGCCUGACGAAUCCAUGCCGCGUGUGUAAAGAAGGCCUACGGGUUGAAAAACACUUUAAGCGAAGAGGCGUUACUCGCAGAAGAAGCACCGGCUAACUCCGUGCCAGCAGCCGCGGUAAUUC